rnacentral:piRNA from 1 species
UUUCAAGAGUUUACUACAAAA